rnacentral:rRNA from 1 species
CCUACGGGUGGCAGCAGUGAGGAAUAUUGGUCAAUGGACGAAAGUCUGAACCAGCGAAGUAGCGUGAAGGAUGACUGCCCUCUGGGUUGUAAACUUCUUUUAUAUGGGAAUAAAACGUUCCACGUGUGGGAUUUUGUCUGUCCCAUAUGAAUCAGGAUCGGCUAACUCCGUGCCAGCAGCCGCGGUAAUACGGAGGAUCCGGGCGUUAUCCGGAUUUAUUGGGUUUAAAGGGAGCGUAGGUGGAUUGUUAAGUCAGUUGUGAAAGUUUGGGGCUCAACCGUAAAAUUGUAGUUGAAACUGGCAGUCUUGAGUACAGGAGAGGUGGGCGGAAUUCGUGGUGUAGCGGUGAAAUGCGUAGAUAUUACGAAGAACUCCGAUUGCGAAGGCAGUUCACUGGACUGCAACUGACACUGAGGCUCGAAAGUGUGGGUAUCAAACAGGAUUAGAUACCCGAGUAGUC